rnacentral:tRNA from 1 species
GUCCUCGUAGCUCAGCCGGAUAGAGCACACGCCUUCUAAGCGUGCGGUCGAAGGUUCGAAUCCUUCCGGGGACGCCA